rnacentral:rRNA from 1 species
UACGGAGGGUGCGAGCGUUAUCCGGAUUUAUUGGGUUUAAAGGGUGCGUAGGCUGUGCGUCAAGUCAGGGGUGAAAUUCCGUCGCUCAACGUCGGUUGUGCCCUUGAUACUGGCGUGCUGGAGUACGGAUGCCGCCGGAGGAAUGAGUGGUGUAGCGGUGAAAUGCAUAGAUAUCACUCAGAACACCGAUUGCGAAGGCAUCUGGCGAAUCCGUCACUGACGCUGAUGCACGAAAGCGUGGGGAUAAAACAGGAUUAGAUACC